rnacentral:lncRNA from 1 species
AAUAAUAUUGUAUUUUACAAAAUUUAAAAAACUUUGAUAAUUAAUUACAAGUUACUAAUGGAGGCAGAACCGGUUAUUUAUUACUAUUUGUCAUGUUUUAACUGAUUGUUUGAUUUUACAGUUUUAAAUGCAUGAUAAUACUCUGGAAUUGGUAAGAUAAUUCAGUUGUAUUUUCUUGAUACAUGUAUCGCUUGUUUUGCGUGAUUUACAGUUAAAUU